rfam:TPA: Bos taurus chromosome 12, whole genome shotgun sequence.
CCCCUGGUGGCUCAGACGAUAAAGAAUCCGCCUGCAAUGCAGGAGACCCAGGUUCGAUCCCUGGCUUUGGGA